UUUCAUUUCACUUUUUUAUCUUAUUCUUUCGUUGAUUUUUUCAGUACAUGAAUCGUUCCUCUGAUUUUCUUAUGAUGUUGUCUUAAAAUUGUUUAUGCUUCACUUUUAUGAUGACAGAAACUUAGAAGCACAAAAAUGUCCGUGCUGCUUGCUGCAUGUAGCAGAGAAUGUCUUGAGAAGGUAUGUCAGUUAUAAGUACAAUCUGAUGUAGUUAUAUUUUAAAAGCAAAUUUUGUCAUGUACACCAACGAAUAAUAUUUGAACUAUAAAGGCCUCCUUAACAUAUUUUAAUCCUUUGUUAUGAAUUCCUACCAAGUUGUUAAACUAUUUUUAGUGAAGUUAUGUGAGGAUCAAUUGCUCAGAUGAUAACCUAUAUUAGGUUGGCCCUGUUUGAUGGUUUUGUUUCUCAAGCCAUGAAUAUUUUCAUGUAAAGAUUUGAAUAUCCCCUAAUUAUUCAAGAUGUGUGCUACUUUAGUAAGAAAUAUGGUGUCAAGUAAAAGUGGAACAAAAAAAGCAUUAUAUACAUCCAAAAAAAGAACAUUGAGUGAGGGAAUAGGAGAUUCUGAGGAGGGUUUGUUGGCAUAUGAUGUGUAUUUUAAUUGCAUAAUGUCAUAAUGGUUAUUAUAUACAAAAGGUGCAACUGAUCCGAGUUACUUGAAUUUAAAGUUCUCCCGUUUAAAGUAAAGUAUAUUUACAUGUUAUGUAUUUGACUUGAGCUCUGCACGAGUUAUCUCAGUUAAUGUUUCCUCUUUCUUUUUUUCUUCUAAUAAAUCUAAUUUUACCAGACUUUUGGCCAUUUAAUAAGCGAUAGAUUUAAGAAUAGUUGUGGUUAAGUAAAAUAUUCUUUAGACUUUUAAAUCAUUCGACCUUGCAUUUAGACCUAAUAUUCGUGCAACUCUAGGAAUUGAGUAGUAAGUUAUUCUUUACAGAUGACACAAUAGUAAGAGGUGGACUAAGAACGACAACUUAAUUAUUUUUAGUAAGAUGUGGAAUAAGAAUGAAAGUUAAUUCUUUUAAACGCUCACUGACACUGACCCAUGCAAAACAGCUGAAAUAUGGCAUCUUUAUAUCUCCUAUUCAAGAACUGUAUACUCUUCGCAAGAAAGGACUUCUUCUUAAGAAUAGACCUUUGUUGUUUUCCAUCUCUUAAGUUUUUUAAAUUUGUGUUAAUGUGUUGAGUAGUCUAAGUAGUUUAAGAUUACUCUAUCUUCCCUUAUAGAGUCAUAUUUAUAAAUCAGGAACAAUACAUAGAUUGUUAGCGAAUUUUUUUUGAAUACCAUUGGUAUCUUGGGAGAAAGCUCCUUCAGAUGAGGCAAAACUGAAAACUAAAGUAAUAACUUGGUUUUCUAUCUAACUUGAGAGAGUUUGAAAAGGAAAUGAAGUUGUUAUGAGUUAAAUCCUUCCAAAUUGUGUUUCAUUUUCCAAUUUUAGGGAAAUAAUGUUGCCUCAAGUUGACAUAUGUAUGUGGAUCAAGUUUCAAUUAUUUCGUGCAUGCAAAUACUUGCUUUCAUGAUCUAAUAACAAUCAGAUUCUGUUUUUGAAUGAUUUGUGUGGCCCUUUCUAUAUUUUGAUAUAGAGUUGGUCAUCUUUUCUUUUGACUAUACUUUUAAAAAAUUUCUUAACUUUUGCUUUGCUGUAGGAUAUUAUAGGUUUCUUUGCUAACUACCUACUACUUAGGAUGAAAGAGAUACAUGUUCUAAUGUGAUUUUGUUUUAUAAGUGAUAGUUAUAUAAGUUAACCAGGUAAGGAACUACUAUUUAGACCGCAAACUGUAUACGUAUAUUUGUUUAUUUCAAACUCCAAUGAUACUUGUUCGAAAUUUUCUAACUAAAACAGAGCUCCAUAUUAGUUUUGUAUUUGGGAGAAGCAUGAUUUAAGAAGUAUAGACAAAAAUAGCUGUGUGGUUUCAUUUGAUAAUAGGAAAUAAGUUGCACAACUGUUGCUUUUAGAUCCAUAAACUUUCCUGUACUCUAAAUCUAAUACUACUUUUUCUAGAAGUCAAGUUAAGAAGACUAUGGUUGUUGCAGAGUGAUUUAAGUGGGAGUUUUGGCAUGUCUCUUCUUGGCUAAGACGGAGUUUGACAUGUCUGUUCUUUGUUUUCAAAAUUUAAGUUGAGGAUAUUAUUCUAGAAAUAAUAUGUAGAGUCUAGAUCUACGGCUUCUUCAUUUUCUCCUUGCAUUAAUUUCUUCAAAAUUUAUGUUGAGGAUACUAUUCUAAAAUACACGAGACUAAUUCACAUUAUGAAUAUCCAGCAAUACCUAAAUAAAAAUCUCAACUUUUCAUGUCUGAAUGUACGAUGAUUUACAUACUAACUCCUACUCAAUUAAAUCAUGUGAGUUUGCAAGUGAUUCCUUACUUUACUAAAGUUAGUAUACCUAGCAUCAGUUUUUUCUUUAGUUGAUAUAAGAAGUGUGGUUGAAACCUCUUUUGCAAAAUUUACACACAGUACGAAGCUCGAGUAUUAGUGUUAUUGGAGGUACUUGUAGUUUGUGACUAUCUGGAAGUUGUAUGCUUGAAUCCUAGGUGAUCUUCCUUACAAAGAGUACAUCUUGGUAGUUUAUUGAGUAAGGUGGUGUUCAAGGUGAUUAAAUGGGGUCUUCAGUUAACUAUCAUCAUGAAAGAAUUACUGGCCCUUACUUAGUAAUGAUUUACGAUAGUGAUAAGAUAAUAUUCCUUUUCUAUGUAUUUGAUUAAUGUCUCAUGCAUGAAUCACUUGUGUUGAUUGGUCUGAAUACCCUCGAAGAGAGGUGCAAUUCAUUCAUAUGUCAUUUAAAAGUAGCUUAUUGGCUUUUCUUUGGGCUCGAUAAGUUGCUUUAUUCUUAGGCUGGUAUCCCACUCUUGUGCUAAAUAGAUGCAAGAAAGAAAAGUAUGUUUUAUUUUUUUUCUUUUAGUUGGUAAUUCUGUUAUAUCUUCCAUGUCUUUCCAUUCAUAAGUGUAAAGUUGUUUGCUCAGAGUUGAAGCAACAAUGAAGAUAAGAGAACUUUGGAAAAAUUGAAAAGGAAGUCUUACUUUGUCUCUCCUAAUCCUAUAUGUUUCUGGAUGGAUUUGGAGGAAUAUAUGACCUGCCUCAAAUUAUAGCCGACCGAUCUUGCUCUUGUUUGGAAUUUGAGUAGUAAUAGUUAUUCCAUAAAUUGUACAAGUGUGCUAACUUUCUGGUAAAAGAAGUUAGAGCUGAUAAAUAAAUUUAUUUAUCCAGUAAGGUUUAUUGUAUUGUAAAACAGCAUUGUAAUAAAGCAUGACCUAGUGUAAUUUUUUAUGCAAGUAUUUUCACUUAUUAUAAAAAUAGUCU
rnacentral:lncRNA from 1 species